rnacentral:piRNA from 1 species
UCCCCAAGAACAUUCCAUGCAACCCCUUGU